UGAGAUCAAGAGCUACGACUUUCAUGUUGAGGCCAAAACCCAGUUCGGAGCGCAAGUGUGUCAAAGAAUUGCGUUUAUGUUCCAGACGAAUUUAAUUUCAGCACAACUUUAUAUUUUUCGGCCCAAUUGUUUUAAGGCCCGUUCCAUGUAUUAUUUAAACCGAAAAAAGGCAGCUAGGGUGGCUCAUUCACUGUUCACGGAAAUUAGAAAACCCUAGAGCAGCCACCAUUUAUAUGGAGAACUAAAUCUUUCUUUCAAUUCGUUGGUGCAAGGAACUCGUUUUAAAUUCUUGAGGUCUGUUUUAAUAGCAAUAUUCGUUUUAUAUGUAUGUUCUGN
rnacentral:lncRNA from 1 species